rnacentral:rRNA from 1 species
AUUUCCCAUUACGCAAGUAAGUAAGAUCCCUCAAAGACGAUGAGGUAGAUAGGUUCGAGGUGGAAGUGUGGUGACACAUGGAGCUGACGAAUACUAAUCGAUCGAGGACUUAACCAA